UACGAAGGGGGCUAGCGUUGCUCGGAAUCACUGGGCGUAAAGGGUGCGUAGGCGGGUCUUUAAGUCAGGGGUGAAAUCCUGGAGCUCAACUCCAGAACUGCCUUUGAUACUGAAGAUCUUGAGUGCGGGAGAGGUGAGUGGAACUGCGAGUGUAGAGGUGAAAUUCGUAGAUAUUCGUAAGAACACCAGUGGCGAAGGCGGCUCACUGGCCCGAUACUGACGCUGAGGCACGAAAGCGUGGGGAGCAAACAGG
rnacentral:rRNA from 1 species